rnacentral:rRNA from 1 species
UAAUGGGUCAGCGACUUAUAUUCUGUAGCAAGGUUAACCGAAUAGGGGAGCCGAAGGGAAACCGAGUCUUAACUGGGCGUUAAGUUGCAGGGUAUAGACCCGAAACCCGGUGAUCUAGCCAUGGGCAGGUUGAAGGUUGGGUAACACUAACUGGAGGACCGAACCGACUAAUGUUGAAAAAUUAGCGGAUGACUUGUGGCUGGGGGUGAAAGGCCAAUCAAACCGGGAGAUAGCUGGUUCUCCCCGAAAGCUAUUUAGGUAGCGCCUCGUGAAUUCAUCUCCGGGGGUAGAGCACUGUUUCGGCAAGGGGGUCAUCCCGACUUACCAACCCGAUGCAAACUGCGAAUACCGGAGAAUGUUAUCACGGGAGACACACGGCGGGUGCUAACGUCCGUCGUGAAGAGGGAAACAACCCAGACCGCCAGCUAAGGUCCCAAAGUCAUGGUUAAGUGGGAAACGAUGUGGGAAGGCCCAGACAGCCAGGAUGUUGGCUUAGAAGCAGCCAUCAUUUAAAGAAAGCGUAAUAGCUCACUGGUCGAGUCGGCCUGCGC